AACACCUGCAUUACUUUGACGUUACCUACAGAAGAAGCACCGGCUAACUACCGUGCCAGCAGCCGCGGUAAUACGGAGGGUGCGAGCGUUAAUCGGAAUUACUGGGCGUAAAGCGCAUGCAGGCGGCCUGUUAAGUCAGAUGUGAAAGACCCGGGGCGUUAACCUCGGAAUUGCAUUUGAAACUGGCAGGCUAGAGUCUUGUAGAGGGGGGUAGGAAUUUCAGGUGUAGCGGUGAAAUGCGUAGAGAUCUGAAGGAAUACCAGUGGCGAAGGCGGCCCCCCUGGACAAAGACUGACGCUCAGAUGCGAAAGCGUGGGGAGCAAACAGGAUUAGAUACCCCUGGUAG
rnacentral:rRNA from 1 species